AUGUCGUUCCACCGCGGCAGCAGCUCCGGCACCGGCGGCGACGACGGACCCAGCGCGUGGCCGUCGAGCCUGAGUACGCCGGAGACGGAGGAGCUGCACCGGUUCGGGCUCCUCGUGCCGCCGGGUUGCCGUCUUCCGCACGACUGGAAGCUCGACAAGGACGGCUACCCGACGCGCGGGCCAGGCGCCACCGCCGAGGAGAAGCGGACCGGCGGCCGCAACAACAUCGCCGGCCGUCACGCGUUCUGGGACGACAAAGAGUACGCCGCCGUCAUAGGCGCGUUCCGGCUGGCGGAGUCCGGCGUCACGCCUGACCUCGUCGGCGACCGUCGCCGCCUUCUUGUCCCGCGCCCCCGUCCAGCAGCGCGCGGCCGUCGGGCUCCUCCCGCACCUGCGCCGGCGCCCGCCGAUCCCCCCGCCCUGCCGGAGGUGGAACUGCCGCCGGAGCAGUUAGUUCUUCGGGAGGACGGUGAUCCCGACGAUACGCCGAGUUACCUCGUCGCCCUACGCGCGUCGGCGGCUGCAGCGGCGGCUGCAGAGGCGGCGGCGGCUGCAAGGGAGGCCGCCGAGCAGGCGGCAGCGAUCUAG
rnacentral:rRNA from 1 species